rnacentral:rRNA from 1 species
AUUGAACGCUGGCGGCAUGCCUUACACAUGCAAGUCGAACGGCAGCACGGGAGCAAUCCUGGUGGCGAGUGGCGAACGGGUGAGUAAAGUAUCGGAACGUGCCCAGUCGUGGGGGAUAACGUAGCGAAAGUUACGCUAAUACCGCAUACGAUCUCUGGAUGAAAGCGGGGGAUCGCAAGACCCCGCGCGACUGGAGCGGCCGAUAUCAGAUUAGGUGGUUGGUGGGGUAAAGGCCCACCAAGCCGACGAUCUGUAGCUGGUCUGAGAGGACGACCAGCCACACUGGGACUGAGACACGGCCCAGACUCCUACGGGAGGCAGCAGUGGGGAAUUUUGGACAAUCGGCGAAAGCCUGAUCCAGCCAUGCCGCGUGCAGGAUGAAGGCCUUCGGGUUGUAAACUGCUUUUGUACGGAACGAAAAGGACUGCCCUAAUGCGGUGGUCCCAUGACGGUACCGUAAGAAUAAGCACCGGCUAACUACGUGCCAGCAGCCGCGGUAA